rnacentral:rRNA from 1 species
AUGUCUUCCUCCCCCGGCGCCUUCCAACCUAGCCUCAAUGGCCAGGUCACCGAGAAGCUGUCCUGCACGAACUACGUGCUGUGGCGCACGCAGAUCACGCCGCAACUGCGUGGCGCCGGUGUCUUCGGCUACGUCGACGGCACCUCGCCGGAACGAGCCAAGCUCCUCUCUGCCAAGGACAAGGACGGCAAGGAGACCUUCGAGCCCAACCCUCUCCACCCUCUCUGA